GUCCGCUCUACUUAUGUGCAAAACUCAGUACGAAGGCUGACAAAAAAUGGUUAUCGUUCUCUCACUGGAUCUCGCUUGUGGCCAUAGACAUAUCAAAUACGUCUGCGGCUGUGACGGUUAAUUGCGCAACAGGAAGAUCACAGCACAUCUCUAAGCACACAAUAUAUGCUUUCUACAUCAUCCUGUCCUUCCGAGUUUGUUCUUCCAAGGUAGCUUGGCAAGCUCAUGACGUCACAACAGUGAAGCUACUGCGCCGCCAUCUUGGUAUUCCCUAACAUUCUGUACUCCUAUGUGUCUCAAUGGGAAAUCGUCUGUUUUGCAGCAUUACGUUCAGCGGCGCACGUGCGCACUUGUUUCAAUAGAAACAAGUUUAAGAAACUGAGUGCAGGCCUGAAUACGGUCCAGCUCACGGGCAUCAUUUAUAAAGUGAUCAAUUGGAAUAGACGAGGAGCAGGGCAGGACUGGUAAUCUGGACUACCGGACAUUUUUCCGGUGGACCGACAAACUUUGGGGCCGAUCAGGGUGGACUGGCCAUCGGGAGAACCGAGCGGGUCGCUGUGUCGGCCGCGAUAAUCUAAAACGAGCCGCCGCGUUAGCGAACACUA